rnacentral:rRNA from 1 species
AGGACGAACGCUUGCGGCGUGCCUAAGAAAUGCAAGUCGAACGAGAGCUUCGGCUCGAGUGGCGAACGGUCGCGUAACACGUGGGCAAUCUGCCCUGAAGCGGGGGACAACAUUCCGAAAGGAGUGCUAAUACCGCAUGUGGUUCCGGAAGGCAUCUUCCGUAACUAAAGCCUUCGGGCACUUCAGGAUGAGCCCGCGGCCUAUCAGCUAGUUGGUGAGGUAACGGCCCACCAAGGCUACGACGGGUAGCUGGUCUGAGAGGACGGCCAGCCGGAUUGGGACUGAGAUACGGCCCAGACUCCUACGGGGGGCAGCAAUUAGGAAUCUUGCACAAUGGACGAAAGUCUGAUGCAGCGACGCCGCGUGAGGGAUGAAAUUCUUCGGAAUGUAAACCUCUUUAUUUGGGAAGAGAAUGUGACGGUACCAAAUGAAUAAGCCCGGCUAACUACGUGCCAGCAGCCGC